UACAGAGGGGGCAAGCGUUGUUCGGAAUUACUGGGCGUAAAGGGCGCGUAGGCGGCCUUCUAAGUCGAACGUGAAAUCCCCGGGCUCAACCCGGGAACUGCGUCCGAUACUGGAAGGCUUGAAUCCGGGAGAGGGAUGUGGAAUUCCAGGUGUAGCGGUGAAAUGCGCAGAUAUCGGGAAGAACACCCGUGGCGAAGGCGGCUCUCUGGGCCACUACUGACGCUGAGAAGCGAAAGCAUGGGAGCGAACAGG
rnacentral:rRNA from 1 species